GUGCGAGAUGAAGGCCUUCGGGUUGUAAACUGCUUUUGUACGGAACGAAAAGACUUGGGUUAAUACCCUGGGAUCAUGACGGUACCGUAAGAAUAAGCACCGGCUAACUACGUGCCAGCAGCCGCGGUAAUACGUAGGGUGCAAGCGUUAAUCGGAAUUACUGGGCGUAAAGCGUGCGCAGGCGGUUUUGUAAGACAGAGGUGAAAUCCCCGGGCUCAACCUGGGAACUGCCUUUGUGACUGCAAGGCUGGAGUGCGGCAGAGGGGGAUGGAAUUCCGCGUGUAGCAGUGAAAUGCGUAGAUAUGCGGAGGAACACCGAUGGCGAAGGCAAUCCCCUGGGCCUGUACUGACGCUCAUGCACGAAAGCGUGGGGAGCAAACAGGAUUAGAUACCCUGGUAGUCCACGCCCUAAACGAUGUCAACUGGUUGUUGGGACUUUAUUGACUCAGUAACGAAGCUAACGCGUGAAGUUGACCGCCUGGGGAGUACGGCCGC
rnacentral:rRNA from 1 species